rnacentral:lncRNA from 1 species
UGUUACACCGCUUCACUUAAACUUUUCAUGGAUUUUGAGGAUAAACAACUACCCAGAGCUAUCUCCUUCCUCACAGUAAUACUGAUUCUUACCUGUGCUAUACAUACCUUAGUCAUAGGGUUGUUUGGUUGGUUAACUCUCUUUGUCAAGUCACACCUUAAUCAUACCACAGUCUGUUAGCAUUGGGUUCAAUUCAUUGCCACAAAUGUAAUAUGCCAUACUUUAGUAGCACCUGAACCCCUAUUGACGUCGAAAAUAUAUGUGAUCAACGUGUCACACAGGAAGGACUAAGAAUCACUUCUCAGAACGUUCUAGUGUCGGACCUAAAUUC